GCCCUCGUGGAUCAUGGUAGAUCAUUUUCAUCUAGUCGCAGGUUCUCCAAAUCUUUAUGAGGACAUCGUAGGUUUGAAUCCUACCGAGGGCA